GAUGAACGCUGGCGGCGUGCCUAAUACAUGCAAGUAGAACGCUGAAGCUUGGUGCUUGCACCUAGCGGAUGAGUUGCGAACGGGUGAGUAACGCGUAGGUAACCUGCCUGGUAGCGGGGGAUAACUAUUGGAAACGAUAGCUAAUACCGCAUAACAGUAGAUAUUGCAUGAUAUCUGCUUGAAAGGUGCAAAUGCAUCACUACCAGAUGGACCUGCGUUGUAUUAGCUAGUUGGUGAGGUAACGGCUCACCAAGGCGACGAUACAUAGCCGACCUGAGAGGGUGAUCGGCCACACUGGGACUGAGACACGGCCCAGACUCCUACGGGAGGCAGCAGUAGGGAAUCUUCGGCAAUGGGGGGAACCCUGACCGAGCAACGCCGCGUGAGUGAAGAAGGUUUUCGGAUCGUAAAGCUCUGUUGUAAGAGAAGAACGAGUGUGAGAGUGGAAAGUCCAAACUGUGACGGUAUCUUACAAGAAAGGGACGGCUAAUUACGU
rnacentral:rRNA from 1 species